AAAUUGAAACAGGGGAGCUCGUAAGCGAGCUGAGAGGAAGUCAUCAACUUCGACCCUUAACCUGAUCCGGAUAAUGCCGGCGGAGGGAGUUUGUAGACAUUUUGU
rnacentral:ncRNA from 2 species